UUAAUUUCUCAAUCAAAUCAAAACUAUAGAGGACUAUACAUUUGAUUUAUUUAUAUUUCCAGUGACUAAAUCUCCAUUAAAUCUCCGUCAACUUGUAUGUAGUACAAAGGUUUUUGUUAUUAUUAUAUUUGUUUCUGUACAAUGCUGGAAUGGCUCAGUACAGACAAUCGGGUGCAUUAGUUAUUACUAACAAUGGUGGUGUUGGUGGAGUUGUUCGUAACGGCAUCGUAUCGGAUCAUGUAUCUGUUGGGAUUCGUUCGAGUAAGCAGCAGCAAGCGAGGAAUCAGCACCGUUGAUUGAAGUCGAAUAAUCGGAAGAUCUCGAUUGGUGCUAUUAUUGUUAUUCUAUUUGUCGCCUUUGUUGUUUCUGUCUCUGCUUUCUUCUAUUUCACAUCUCAAAAUACGGUUCUUUCACAAUAUUGCAACACAUUGCCAUAUGGGGAAAUCUUGUUGCUUUUUAUGUCAUCAAUUGGAUUGUCAGUGCCUUCCCAUCCUCCGGCCUGUAUACAAUAAUGUUUCACUUAUGUAAACAGCCCUCAUACUGGAUUACUAUAUUUAUCAUUGUUGCAGCUGGCAUGGGUCCAGUGCUUGCUUUGAAGUACUUCAGGUAUACCUACAGAUCUAGUAAAAUUAACAUACUUCAGCAAGCCGAACGCAUGGGAGGACCUAUAUUGUCCCUGGGUAAUAUAGAGCCUCAGUUUAGAUCUUUGGAUAAAGCUGUUUCACCUUUAUCAAUUUCUCAACCCAAGAACCGUACUUCAGUCUAUGAGCCGCUGCUCUCAGAUUCUCCUAGUGCGACAAGACGUUCCUUUGGACCAGGGGCUCCAUUUGAUUUCUUUCAGUCCCAGGCCCGAUUGUCUUCAAAUUAUACAAGAAACUGCAAGGACAUCUAAUAUUGACAGUUCAUCUGGUAGGACACAUGGAAUUAUACUUAUCAGAUGUAGAAAAGAUACUACAUCGAGGACACUAACUACUGAUGUGUUCUUUUGAACUGAUCAGCAUCUUAUUCUACAAUUAUUCUAUGCUGCGUGAAUUAUAGUUGCAUCAAACUGCCAACAUCAUGCUCAGGGGCUACUGUAUUUGGCAGCUUAUGCUGUAAAGAUCAGGACGGAUUACUAUUUCCAGGAUAUGAAGAUGCAACAGCAUAGCACGAUUUUCAUUCUUGUUUAUUGAAGGAAACAACGAAACAUUUCACAGAUUCUGGCACCCCAUUUCAGGGUGAUAUUAAUUUACAAUAUCUACUCAAUUAUAAUGGAAUCAAAGAGACCUAUCCUCGUAACUGAAAUAUACCCAGCAUCAUUUUCAACA